rnacentral:tRNA from 1 species
GUGCUCAUAGCUCAAUAGGAUAGAGCAGUUGUUUUCUAAACAGCAGGUUGCAAGUUCGAAUCUUGCUGGGCGCG